AUCUUCAUUGAGAUGGUUC
rnacentral:snRNA from 1 species